rnacentral:rRNA from 1 species
AGUCGAACGAAGAACCCACUAUGGGUAACCACUGUGGGAUUCUUAGUGGCGAACGGGUGAGUAACACGUGAGAAACCUGCCCCGGAGACCGGGAUAGCCCAGGGAAACCUGGAUUAAUACCGGAUACCCUCUUACGACCGCAUGGUCGAUCGAGGAAAUGGUCCGCUGCUCCGGGAUGGUCUCGCGUCCUAUCAGCUAGUUGGUGAGGUAACGGCUCACCAAGGCUAUGACGGGUAGCUGGUCUGAGAGGACGAUCAGCCACACUGGGACUGAGACACGGCCCAGACUCCUACGGGAGGCAGCAGCAGGGAAUUUUGCACAAUGGGCGAAAGCCUGAUGCAGCGACGCCGCGUGGGGGAUGAAUGCCUUCGGGUUGUAAACCCCUUUCAGGAGGGACGAAGCGAAAGUGACGGUACCUCCAGAAGAAGCCCCGGCCAACUACGUGCCAGCAGCCGCGGUAAUACGUAGGGGGCGAGCGUUGUCCGGAUUUAUUGGGCGUAAAGAGCUCGUAGGCGGCUCAGCAAGUCGGCCGUGAAAGCCUGAGGCUCAACCUCAGGAUGCCGGUCGAAACUGCUGUGGCUAGGGUUCGGUAGAGGAGAGUGGAAUUCCCGGUG